rnacentral:rRNA from 1 species
AUACGAAGUCGGACCUGCCCAGUGAAGUAUUAAACGGCCGCGGUACUCUGACCGUGCAAAGGUAGCAUAAUCAUUUGCCUUAUAAUUGAAGGCUGGAAUGAAUGGUUUGACAAGAAUACAUCUGUCUCUUUUCGACUUGCUAGAACUUUAUUUCUGAAUGAAAAAGUUCAGAUACCAUUAAAAGACAAGAAGACCCUAUCGAGCUUCAGAAAAAUUAACAGACUUAACAAUAAUCAAUAUAAGUAAAAGAAAAUCUGUUAAAAACUUUGGUUGGGGCAACCGGGGAGCAAACAAAGCCUCCUUUAACCUAAAAAUCGCACUCGAAUUGAUCCAAGAGUUUUGAUUAAAGAAAUUAGUUACCGUAGGGAUAACAGCAUUAUCUUUUUCAAGAGCCCAUAUCGAAAAAAAGGUUUGUGACCUCGAUGUUGGACCAGAAUAUCCUAAAGAUGCAGAAGUCUUUAAGGGUUGGUCUGUUCGACCAUUAAAAUUCUA